rnacentral:rRNA from 1 species
AGGGUUUUAUUCUGGCUCGGAGUGAAUGCUACUGAUAAGCUUAACACAUGCAAGUUGUACGUAUUUUUUUAAAAGAUUAGAUUUCUUUAAUAAGAAUAAUUAAUAAUCUACGUAGCGAACGGGUGUAGAAUAUGAAUUGAUUUAUUACCUAAAAAUUUGGGAUAAUUAUUUUAUAUAAAUUCCAAAUAAAAAAUAAAGACUUAUUAUAGUCGUUUUUAGAUAUGCAUUCAUAGUUUUAGGUAGUUGGUGAGGUAAUAGCUUACCAAGCCUUAAAUGCUUAGCUGUUCUGAGAGGAUGUACAGCCACAUGGAGACUGAGACAAGGCUCUAGCUCCGUUUGGAGGCAGCAGUGAGGAAUCUUGGGCAAUGAGCUAACGCUUGACCCAGCUAUAUCAAUAGAGUGAACGAAGAUAUAUUUAUUGUAAAGCUCUUCCUUUAGCUAAGAUAAUGACUUAAACUAAAGAGUAGCGCUGGCCAAUUCUCGUGCCAGCAGCCGCGGUAAUACGAGUAGCGCAAGUGUUAUUCCUCUUGAUUGGGCGUAAAGGGUGUGUAGGCGGUAUAUUAAGUUAGAAACAAAAAACUAUGCGGAUUAAUUGAAUGUUUCUAAUACUAUUAUACUUGAGUAAUAAUAAAGAUAGUGGAACUUCUAAUAUCAGAGUUAAAAUACGGUUACAUUAGAAAGAACCCCGAAGGCGAAGGCAGCUAUCUAUUUAUUUCUGACGCUGAGACACGAAAGCAUGGGAAUCAAAUCGGAUUAGGUACCCGAGUAGUCCAUGCUGUCAACGAUGAGUAUUAAAUGUUAGAAAAAUAAGAUUUUCUAAUGUUACAGCUUACGCGUUAAAUACUCCGCCUGGGAAGUACGAUCGCAAGAUUGAAACCUUAAGAAAUUGACGGAGGUUAGUUACAAGCGGUGGAGCAUGUGGUUUAAUUUGAUAAACCCCGUAGAAUCUUACCAAUCCUUGAUAUAUGAUAAAAUAGAUAGUAAGAAUUUAAAUAAUUCCUAAAAAAAUGGAAUUCUAUCUCAUUGUUAUUCUUAUUUUGAAUAAUAAUGUUUAUUUUUUUAGACGAACAAUUAUAUUCGUUUAUUCAUAUAAUUUAUCAAUACAGAUGCUGCAUGGCUGUCGUAAGGCCGUGCUGUGAAGUGUUAGAUUAAGUUCUUUCAACGGCCAUAACCCCUUCUCUUAGUUGUUUUAUAAAUAAAGAGAAACUAAGAUUAUUGCCCAUAUAAUGUGGGAUGAAAGUAGGGACGACGUCAAGUCAUCACGGCUCUUAUGGAUUGGGCCACACAUGUGCUACAUUGAUAGAGACAAAAAGAAGCAAAGAUGUGAAUCUGAGCAAAUCUAUAAAAUCUGUCUUAGUUCGGAUUGUUCUCUGAAAUUCGAGAACAUGAAGUAGGAAUCGCUAGUAAUCGUGGAUAAGAAUGCCACGGUGAAUAUGUUAGCUAACCUUGUACACACCGCCCGUCACGUCACGAAAAUUAGUUGUUCUGUAAGGUAUAU